rnacentral:misc_RNA from 1 species
GAAAUGCGAUAAGUAAUGUGAAUUGCAGAAUUCAGUGAAUCAUCGAAUCUUUGAACGCACAUUGCGCCCGCCAGUAUUCUGCGGGCAUGCCUGUUCGAGCGUCAUUUCAACCAUCAAGCCCCCGGGCUUGUGUUGGGGACCUGCGGCUGCCGCAGGCCCCGAAAACCAGUGGCGGGCUCGCUGUCACACCGGGCGUAGUAGAUUUUUCGUCUCGCCCAGGGCGUGCUGCGGGUUCCGGCCGUUAAAAAGCCUCUCUUUUAACCCAAGGUUGACCUCGGAUCAGGUAGGAAGACCCGCUGAACUUAAGC